AUUAUCUUCCUCAAGCAAAUGUGUGAUAAAGAAAUGUAGGAGUAGUGCUUGGUAUCAGUAUAACCUAUGUACGAGCAUAACCUCUAGGCUUGGGCAAAAUUACUCUGUUUGGAUGGAAAUGACUAUUGACAGUCUCAGGAAGUGAGAAGUCUCAUCUUCACAAAAUGCUCCCAAAUGUCAGAUUGUGGAAGUGGUAAAUUUUUAAGUGAGUGCUGCAACUGUUGGGAAGCAGCCCUUUGUGACUUACCAGAAGGGAGGCCUGUCUGCUCGUGAGGAAAGGCAACUGUGGAAGCUCUGAGAAGAAACACUGUGAUUUCAAAAGGCAUAACUGGGCUCUGAAGCAGAGACAACUACAACUUCAGUGUCAAAAAGAGCAUAGAGAAACACUGGGCUAUACUUGCAUUUCAUGUCAUUGCCACCACAUGAGGGAAGAGGAAGUUGGGCUGCAGCUCUGAUGUGCUUUCAUUUGUUGUUUAGUUCAUCUUCAGCAAAGACACCCUGAUGUGAGUGCUGUAAUAACUGCGUGAUGGUUGCUACUUCACUGGAACUCCUUUUAGCAAUGUGUGUUGGCUGCUUAAUAGCUACAGAUCCCAGUAAUAUAAUAGUCAUCCAAACACCAAUGGAAAUACAUCUAUCUACUGGAGACUCCACUGAAAUAGCUUGUAUUUGGGAAAAGUCAAUUAAGAGAUAUAGAAUCAGCUGGUAUCUUGUUAAUAAAGAGAACGUCACCAGAACUGUAUCAUCAAAUCUUGUCUACAACGUCACCGGUCAAAUCAAGAAUGUCCUACUGAUUGAAGCUGCCAGUGCAAAUGACACUGGGUUUUACUACUGUGAGAUAAUUAUUGAAAUACCUUUCUAUAAAAAAGUAUGUGGAAAUGGAACAAAGCUGGUCGUUGAAGAGCGAGAAGCUCAGUCAUUGGAGAAGAGAACGUCGGUAGUUUGGGUCAUCGUUCCCGUCAUUCCUUUCUUAGCUGCAAUGGGAAGCUUAUAUUUUUGCUACAAAAAGAAACAGAAGUUGAUGUUUUCUGGUUCUGCCCAGCUUCCUGCACCACGAGAAGGGCAUCAGGAGGAGCAGACACUUGAGGUGGAAGACAUUUGUAGAAGAACUGAAUCCACCAGAGAAGAAGCUGGAUGGGCUGUGUCUACACUUUAUAACUCACUCGAUUCUUUUUAUGAUGCACCAAACUAAAAGAUGACAAAUCCACUGUCACUACUGGACCCAGUGCAGCAGAUGAGCCAAUCCCACGAACUGGGGCAGCUGCAAAGUCUAGAACAAGG
rnacentral:lncRNA from 1 species